AUCCCACGGAAAUUCUUUCUUACUUGUCGAGAGUCCCUCCGUUGCAUCCAUGGAAUCCCGAACUGCUUCUUCGGGAUACGAGAGUCCCCGCUUCCACGGUUCUACCACCGUGGAGAGCUGUUCCGCUGCCAUUCCUUCUGAGAAUGAAAACACUUCCUCCCAAGCGGCACCUUCUGCCUUUUCCUUUCUCCACGCAACCAAUGCAAAGAUCAUUGAUCAGG
rnacentral:ribozyme from 1 species